AGGGUGAACAGGGACAAAAGGGAGAUCCAGGACAAGAUGGCAUUCAUGGAAAAGAUGGUUUGAAAGGUGACUUGGGUCCUCCAGGUCCACGCGGUCAGAAAGGAGAAAAGGGAGAAAUAGGACCUCCAGGACCACCAACCUUAAUCGGUUCCUUAGGGCUAGAAGGUCCCCAAGGUCCACCUGGGAAAGAGGGUCAAAGGGUAAGUAAACUUUGAACAACUGGCAGGCAUUAACUAAGUCCAGUCAUUUCAUGUCCCUGAACACCAUUAAAAAUAAAACUCAAAGAUGGCAGCUGGAUAUGAGGUGAAUGUUAAGUAAUAGUACUUAGAAAUUUGAAGUUUGCCUUCAUUAAACUGAGAUUUCACAAUUUUAAAAAAUCCUUUGUGUUUUAGAGAC